rnacentral:lncRNA from 1 species
UGCCUGCAUCACAUUCUGUCCUUCCCAACAGGGAAUCCCACCACAUUUGCCAAUUAGCGCUCUAAUCCUGUUUGUGUGUCUCUGCUGCUCUGUGCCCUGGACCCCAUUCAUUAGAAUGUCAUUCAUUAGGGAUCAGAGAUUCUGAGGACACAGAGCCCAGCAUCAUUAGUACUAAUUGAAGCCUGGAUUCCUAACCUGCUGCAGAA